rnacentral:rRNA from 1 species
CCUACGGGCGGCAGCAGUGGGGAAUAUUGGGCAAUGGGCGCAAGCCUGACCCAGCAACGCCGCGUGAAGGAAGAAGGCUUUCGGGUUGUAAACUUCUUUUCUCAGGGACGAAGAAAGUGACGGUACAUGAGGAAUAAGCCACGGCUAACUACGUGCCAGCAGCCGCGGGAAUACGUAGGGGGCAAGCGUUAUCCGGAUUUACUGGGGGUAAAGGGCGUGUAGGCGGGAAAGCAAGUCAGAUGUGAAAACCAGGGGCUCAACCUGUGGCCUGCAUUUGAAACUGUUUUUCGUGAGUACUGGAGAGGCAGACGGAAUUCCUCGUGUAGCGGUGAAAUGCGUAGAUAGGAGGAGGAACACCAGUGGCGAAGGCGGUCUGCUGGACAGCAACUGACGCUGAGGCGCGAAAGCGUGGGGAGCAAACAGGAUUAGAUACCCUAGUAGUC